rnacentral:lncRNA from 1 species
ACUCAAAAUAUAAAAAUAAUAAGAUUUAUUUAGAUGAUAUAAGGAUGACAAAACUUAUUUAGCACAAUAAUUUAGAAACAACAAGUUUUGAGAAAUCAAUAAAAACUUUUAUAUAUACACAUAUAUAUACCAUUUAGGUUACACUUGAGUCUUGAUUGAUUGAUUCUUGGUUCCUCACAACUGGUGGUAAAGUUUGAAAAAACAACAAAUCAUCGCAUGCGAUAGCAUAUGCAUGGUAACUGGCUUUAUUGAAAUGAUAUAUGUAUGAUUAUAACAUAAUGGCUAACUAAGCAGGAAUUUAUUUAAUAUAAGCACACUGGUGAUUAAUUUUGAUAUACUAGGUGGCCUGCUUAGCAAAGUAGCCAAACACCAUAAGAAGUUCAACCCUAGCUAGUAAGCCAUUCAAGGCCACACUGUCCUGUUCUCUUCGUAGACAACUUCAGCGACGCGCCUCUCAGGAACUUGCUCAUACUCUACCACCUUAACACUCUCACGAGUCUCUGGGUGGUGGUGCCUAUGGAAGAGGUGGUGGUGGUGGUGGUGGGAACCCUCUAUCUCACUUUCCUCGUAAACAACCUUCUUGUUGAGGGAAACGUGAGCAUUAGGGUAUUCAACGGUACUAGACUCCCUCUCAACUUCUGAAACGUGGGUGCGGUAGUCUCCGGAUCUUAACAUAUUGCUCUUUGUGUUUUGGAUACACUCACAAGUAAUUAAUGGCACAAGCACAGGAUUGAAAUUGAU